UGUAACGUUACAUUAUGCUGUUACCACAGUGGUGGUUAACAUUGCUGUUUUUCUUUUCUGUAUUGUACGUUAGAUAAUGAAGUUGACGGAGAAGCAGUGGACUAUGGAUUGACUGAGAGGAUGGUUUCAUACCUCUUUGAAGGAUCGUUUAAGAAGCAAGCCAAAUUCAACCGAUUUGUACAGCAGUGGAAAAAAACCGUGACACUAACCGUUGAGCCUGUCCCGGUACAUUCAGAGAAGGCUACAGUGGAAUCAAGAAUGAAUAUCUGCCGAAGAUUUUAAGAUGGCUUUAAGAUCCUAGUACCCACAGUGCUUAGACUGACUCAAAGGAAAUCUCCCCUUGCAGAUCUGGCUUUGGAGGAAAGAGAGGCUGCCCUCACCGAAGAUGUCCCUGGGAUUGAUUUCAGAGCUGCAAUCCUGCUGUUGCCGAUCCUGUUCAGGGAGAAAAAUGACAUUCUCAUCAUACUUGGAGAGGAUCAGCCUGGUUGUAGCGCUAUCCUAUUGCAUGCAGAGGGAGUUUGAAAG